GCAGUUCAAGAUCCAAGCAAAACGCCCUCCCCUGAAGCCCAGGUAGCCUUUGAAGCCGGAUCUGAAAGCAGGGACAGAUCGCCCUGCCCAGCCUAAUGGGCCACGAAGCCUAAGAAGCUGCCGCUGCACUGACUCGGCUCCAUCCCACGCCCCCCUCCCUCGCUAAGUGGAAGGGCCCUGGGCUGCGGAGCCAGUUCCGUCGAUCACUCCGCCCCGGGCCAAGCGCGGUGACAGCCCAACCUCGGCCAUCCCUAAUCCUGCAACGCACCUUUGUUGGUAUUCUGUAAUUUUUUUUAAGCCACGUGACAGGAGGCUUGACUGCCAGGGGCGUACAUUGCCCAUAACAGCAUCCAGCGACCAGCACAAUCUGGCACUGCGCUCCCCCCCGUGCAAAAACGCAGCGAGGCGCCACCGCCGCCCGCAGGACGCUCCGAGGCUUCUUCGCUGCCGGACAAAAGGCGCAACCGCCGCUCGAUCCAAAACGGAGCCGAGGCGGCGGCGGCGGCGGCUUGACAGAAAGCGGCCUCUCUGCCCGCACGGAGGGCCGGGGAGAAGAUCUACCUACGUCCGGAGAAGGCGUCCGCCAUUUGCCCGCGAUCCGGGUCCUCAGGGCAUUGCCUCUGCGUCCCGGGCACAGCGGCGCGGAUGGCCAGGAAUUCCUGCGCUCUCCCGCGCCAGGAGCCGAGAAUCUCCGAGCGGCGCCCGCGCCAGCCAGGUUGCAAAGGAUUAGCGAAAGAGGGUGUGGACUUCUCCGGCAGCAGCAGCAGCAGCAGCGGCCGAGCCGAGCCAGUAUUUCUGAAGACACCGUGCAUGUGGAUUUGGAGCUCGGGGCAGGCUGGGAAUUGUAGGCAAGGAGGAACACUGGGCGUGAAGGGUUGGAAGUCCCCCUCCCCGCCCGUCCCGUCCUGCAAAAGCAGAGCUCGUUCCCACUUCGUAUUCCGCCUCCGUCCAGGGCGCUACCUUCCGUUGCGCCGCUUUGCCAUCUGCACGCUUGCCCACCUAUACAGCGCAAUUUGAGGAUAUUUGACAGCUUUCCCCAUGCCUUUUUUUUUUUUUAAGAUCUGGAUAGAUUGGCAGAAGAAGGUCACCCACAGCUUCAUAGCUGAAUCCCACGGGACUGGGCACACACUCAAGCCGUAGACACCAUUGACUGCACAGCCCCACAAUUCAGCAAGGAACCAGAGGUGCUGGCCUGGCCGAAGUCAGCUUGAGUUUUGGUUCUCUGCAAUGCUUGUGGCUGUGUGGCCGGCCAUACGUUCACUCCCGCCCACCGCAUGCAUUUCCACAACACCCAGAGGUCAAAUGAAGGAAAAGAGGAGGCCUAAAAGUAUUUUAAUUGGACUCUUGUCAUUCCUCUGGGUGUCCUGAGAUCCAAAAUACUGGUCUGCCCAGACACCCAGAAGCCUGUAAAUUUUUGCAUUGUGGAUGCAGCUUAAGUUUCCUUGUUUAAAGUUGCCAUGCAAACUGCUUGCCCAUAUC
rnacentral:lncRNA from 1 species